rnacentral:rRNA from 1 species
CAAUAGCGUAUAUUUAAGUUGUUGCAGUUAAAAGCUCGUAGUUGGAUUUGUGGUGUGUCCAGUUGGCCUUUGCUCUUUGAGUGAUAGUGCUUUACUGGUCUGCCAUGUUUGGGUGGAAUCUGUGUGGCAUUAAGUUGUCGUGCAGGGGAUGCCCAUCGUUUACUGUGAAAAAUUAGAGUGUUUAAAGCAGGCUUAUGCCGUUGAAUAUAUUAGCAUGGAAUAAUAAGAUAGGACUUUGGAACUAUUUUGUUGGUUUGCGUUACAAAGUAAUGAUUAAUAGGGACAGUUGGGGGUAUUCGUAUUUCGUUGUCAGAGGUGAAAUUCUUGGAUUUCCGAAAGACGAACUACUGCGAAAGCAUUUACCAAGGAUGUUUUCAUUAAUCAAGAACGAAAGUUAGGGGAUCGAAGAUGAUUAGAUACCA